rnacentral:rRNA from 1 species
CACAAGCGGUGGAGUAUGUGGUUUAAUUCGAUGCAACGCGAAGAACUUACCUGGUUUUGACAUCCCGGAGACCCUUAGGAAACUAGGGGUGCUUCCAUCUGGAAGAAUCUGGAGACAGGUGCUGCAUGGCUGUCGUCAGCUCGUGUCGUGAGAUGUUGGGUUAAGUCCCGCAACGAGCGCAACCCUUGCCUUUAGUUGCCAGCAGUUCGGCUGGGCACUCUAAAGGGACUGCCGGUGUUAAACCGGAGGAAGGUGGGGAUGACGUCAAGUCCUCAUGGCCUUUAUGACCAGGGCUACACACGUACUACAAUGGCCGAUACAAAGGGCAGCGACACUGCGAGGUGAAGCCAAUCCCAUAAAAUCGGUCUCAGUCCGGAUUGGAGUCUGCAACUCGACUCCAUGAAGUUGGAAUCGCUAGUAAUCGUGGAUCAGCAUGCCACGGUGAAUACGUUCCCGGGCCUU